AGUAAAUAGAUACCCAGGUAGUCCACGCCGUAAACGAUGAGUACUAGGUGUAGGAGGUAUCGACUCCUUCUGUGCCGCAGUUAAACACAAUAAGUACUCCGCCUGGGAAGUACGGUCGCAAGAUUAAAACUCAAAGGAAUUGACGGGGGCCCGCACAAGCAGCGGAGCAUGUGGUUUAAUUCGAAGCAACGCGAAGAACCUUACCUAGACUUGACAUCUCCUGAAUAGCGUAGAGAUACGUGAAGCCCUUCGGGGCAGGAAGACAGGUGGUGCAUGGUUGUCGUCAGCUCGUGUCGUGAGAUGUUGGGUUAAGUCCCGCAACGAGCGCAACCCUUAUCAUUAGUUGCUACCAUUAAGUUGAGCACUCUAGUGAGACUGCCCGGGUUAACCGGGAGGAAGGCGGGGAUGACGUCAAAUCAUCAUGCCCCUUAUGUCUAGGGCUACACACGUGCUACAAUGGUGAGAACAACGAGAUGCAAUACCGCGAGGUGGAGCCAAACUUGAAAACUCAUCUCAGUUCGGAUUGCAGG
rnacentral:rRNA from 1 species